AGCGAACGCUGGCGGCAUGCCUAACACAUGCAAGUCGCACGGGGGGGCUUCGGCCUCCCAGUGGCGGACGGGUGAGGACCGCGUAGGGACCUGUCGAGGGGUGGGGGAUAACCGCGGGAAACUGCGGCUAAUACCGCAUGACGCCGCGGCGUGACAGCCGGGGCCAAAGGCGAAAGCCGCCCGCCGAGGGGCCUGCGUCCGAUUUGCUGGCUGGCGGGGUAGCGGCCCACCAAGGCGUCGAUCGGUAGCUGGUCUGAGAGGGUGAUCAGCCACACCGGGACUGAGACACGGCCCGGACUCCUACGGGAGGCAGCAGUGGGGAAUAUUGGACAAUGGGCGCAAGCCUGAUCCAGCAAUGCCGCGUGGGUGAAGAAGGUCUUCGGAUUGUAAAGCCCUUUCGGCGGGGACGAUGGUGACGGUACCCGCAGAAGAAGCCCCGGCUAACUUCGUG
rnacentral:rRNA from 1 species